rnacentral:tRNA from 1 species
GUCGGAGUGGCAGAGCCCGGUAUAUUGCAAAAGGCCUAAGCCCUUUAUACGGAGGUUCAAAUCCUCCCUCCAACU